GACUGAAUAGCUCAACGGGAGAGCACCGCAUGCCUAUGCGGAGACGCUGGUUCGACUCCGGCAUCAGCCU
rnacentral:tRNA from 1 species